CGAGAAGGGGGAAUCAUCGCUGGCCUUUGUAGCAAUACAAAGACGGGAGGAAAGUCCGGACACCACAUGGCAACGUAGCGGCUAACGGCCGUCCAUCGCGAGGUGAGGACAAGUGCAACAGAAAGUAUGUACAGGUAAUGCUGUAGUGAAACCAGGUAAACUCUACGUGGUGCAAGCUCAAAUAGGUAUAGGCGUUUUUUAGCAAUAGAAAACUAGGGGGUGCCACCUCCGAUGCUAUACGGGUAGGGUGCUCGAGGCUUGUGGCAACGCAAGUCCUAGAUGAAUGAUGGUUGAAAACAGGAUCCGGCUUACACCCUUUCUCGGUUU
rnacentral:RNase_P_RNA from 1 species